CUACAAUUCUUAUUUUUUAUUUAUAAUUUUUUAAUAAUUUAAAUUGUGGAGUAUUGCGUCACAUAAACAGAGCGCUAGACUAAGCAAUUAUUGCCUGACUUCUCUAUCGGGCUCGCCUUAAGCCCAAUUAUCCAAGUUGGCUAGAGUGUUCUGGGAGGGGUAAUGGAUUUGGUUGCCUAUCCCCAAGGCAAUAAGCAACGGUAGAGUUGCUCUUAGAGCAAGUCGAUCCAUUUUAUGAAGGUAAGGACAAGGCAAGUGCAAGAACAUGUAAAUUACCGUUACAAUUAACUUUGAACUCGCUUUUGUGCAACUCCACCCGUUUAGAAAGGGUAAAAGUAAGGUCAAUUAUUACUCACAAAUAUAUAUAUAUAUAUAGAGGGGUGUGCUAUCCACAUACCCAUUUUUACUUCUCACACACCCCUUGUUAAUUUAUGUCCGUUGAUCUUCUUCAAUUCAUCCGAUUUGAUGGCUGAAAACUAAAAAGGUGUGGGAGAAGUAAAAAGGGGUGUGUGGAUAUCACACCCCUAUAUAUAUAUCUUCAUUCAUCUUCCACAUGUCAUCAUCCCGUUAGAUCUUUGAUGAGAUUUCAAUCACUCUCAUUGUGCCAUAUGUCAUCAUUCAUUAAUAACAUGCGCUUAGAUUUUUGAUAAGAUUCUCAACCAUUCACGUAGUGCCACAUGUCUUUAUCUAAUCUUUUGAUUUCCUCAUAUUUCUCCAUAAAAAACCCUUCAAACCACCAUAUUUACUAACAUUAAGCCUUCUUCAUCCCCUCUACUCAUCUCAUUCAUAGAUGUUUAGAAAAGUAAGUUCUUUCAACAAUGUCUAACCUAAGGAGGUUGCAAGAGAGUUGAGCAAGAAAACGAGCGAGAAGAUGAAGAAUGAAGAAGAAGAUGUGCCCAACACCAAAGGCAUAAAGAAGCAUCAACUUAUCAAGUUGUGCAAGGGAUAUCAUCAAUCGAUCAGCAUAACCAAGAAAUAGAUGGUUUAACAACUAAUCGUGUGUUGAACCUCAACUUACGUGAGGGAAACCGAGGUAAGAAUGUCUUGGAAGAUUACUUUAUUCCAAAUAGUUUUUACCUAACAAAUUAUUUUCAUAAAAGAUUUAGGAUGCACCAUAUUUGUUCAACAACAUCAUGGUUGUUGUUUGCAACUAUGGUAAUUACUUUCUUCAAAAGAAGGAUGAUGCACGUGGUUUAGGUCGUCUUCUGAAGCAAAAAAUGAUGGUUGCCUUAUGCUUGCUUAUAGGGCAGCUGCAGACGUAGUUGAUGAGAUCAAGAGGAUGGAGAGAUCCAUUGUACUCAUGGAAGAAAAUAUCGAAAAUAUCGCCGAUAUCUUCGUUUUUUUUACUUACCGAUAUUUUAAUGAGUAUCCAAUGAGUUUUCGUCAAAAUAUCGCGAUAUUAUCGAUAAUAUCGUGAUAUUUCUCGAUAUUACUUAUAAUAUCGCGAUAUUAGCUAUAAUAUAGCGAUAUUAGUCAAAAAAUUCCUGAAAAUUUGGAAAAGUCUCAAUUUUGAGCAUAGAGGGGUUCGAACCCCUCCCACUUAACUCCUUAACGCCUUAACCACUGUACCACUUAUGUUGUUGUGAUAAUAAGCUACAAUAUUUAUAUAUAUGGUUUUGUUUUGAAUUCUUUUUACAAGAAACAAAUUUGCACAUAUUCCAAAUUUU
rnacentral:lncRNA from 1 species